ensembl:lncRNA
AUUUUGUAUACUUUUGAAUUACCUUAUUUCAAUUAUAAUAAAAAAUUUGUAAUUAUUGUUAUAUGUAUAUUACUAUUACCUUUAACAUUUCAAGAGAAUGCUGGGUCACUUAGUAGGAUUCUUGUUUUUUCUUUAUUUUCAUUAUCAAUAACAUUAAUAACAAUAAUACUACAAGUUAAAUAUUAUUUUAAUACAAUACCUAAUAAACAAAUAAAAUUAUUUAAUAUUGAUCGUAAUUUUUUUCAGUGUUUUAACAUUUUGUUAUUUUCUUUUUCACAACAACCAAAUGCUUGUUUUAUAACAGGUCAGUUUAAUCAACCAACACAUAGAAGGUUAACAAAAUCAGCCUAUCGAAGUGUAUUUUUACAAAUUAUAUUUUACACUUUAUUUGGAAUAUCAGGUUAUUUAUCUUUUUUACAUACAUCUAAAGACAACAUUAUUUUAAAUUAUGAAGACCAAAAUGUAUCAAUACUAUUUUGUAAGUUUUUAUUAUGCAUAACCUAUUUUUUUUCUGUUCCUUUAAAUUUCAUGGGUGCAUAUUCAAGUUUGUUAUCUUUAUAUAAUUUUAUUUCCUCUUGGCUAUACAAAUCUUAUACAUAUAUGGUAAGAAGGAAUACUUAUGUAAUAGAUACCUUAUCAACAGUUUUACGAGAUAAUAGUACAGAUCCAUUUGAAGAAGAAACAGGAGAAGAAGUAGGAGAAGAAGUAGGAGAAGGAAUAGGAGAAGGAGAAGGAGAAGGAGUAGGAGAAGGAGAAGGAGAAAAAUAUAUACAAUAUGAUGACGGAACAGAAGAUGAUACUAAUUUAUCUACAUCUGCAUCUGUAUCCGGGUCACAAACUGAACGUAAAAAGCAAAGAAAACUAAUUUCAAUCCUUGUUACUAUAUUAUGUGCCACCAUAGCACUAAAUGUAAAUAAAUUAUCAAAUGUUAUAGGUGUUGCUGGUGGAAUCACAUCGUCCUUAUUAUCUUGUCUUUUACCCAAUUUGAUAUACUAUAAAAAUAGACAUAAUGUUAAGAACAAGUAUCGAAGAUAUUUGACUUUAACCAUGCUAUGUUUUUUCUCAUUUAUGGGUUUUUUUUCUGUCAUAGUUACUGCAUUAAUAGUAAUUUUUUAAAAGACAUAUAAAGUUUUGUUUUUUUUUUUUUUUUUUUUUUUUUUUUUAUGUAUCUAUUUUUAUGCAUUUAUUUUUGCACGCUGCAUUAGGUACAUGUAUUUACAUACGUACGUAUGUUUUGUGCAGUCAUAAAAACAUGGUUGUUAUUUAUCAACAAUUACAUGUUUGUUUACAUUAAAGCAAAUUACAACAUAUUUUGUUAAAAAUUAUAAUGGAAAUUCAUUACAAAUCCUUAACAAGUGGUAUAUGUGUUUAUGCAUAAAAAACAUAGUUAUUUACUUGUAUAUGCAUAUGUAACCAUGUGUAUGCAUAAAAUAAUUGAUAAAGAUCAGCUUAACAAUUUUAUGUAUAUAUGAUGAGUAAGUGUGUAAAUGCAGAAAUAAUCAUAAGUAUACAAUACAAAUUAACCAAAUAGUAAAAUAUAGUAUUAUAUAUAUACAUGUGUGUAAAUAUACAAUAGUGGUGUUGUAAUUAAGUGAAAAAUUGAUAUAGUGUUCUUUAAUACACCUAUAAUUAUAGCAUACUGAAUUUCGAAUUUUUUUUGAUUGUUUGACCUACAUAUAUAUAUUAAAAUAAUAAUACAAAUUGCUUUGUCUUACUUUACUAUGCUUUUCUUU